GGGCAUUUAGCGCAGUGGUAGCGCGUAUGCUUUGCAUCAAAUUCUGAAGCACUCUUGUAUAAGGCCCGGGGUUCAAUCCCCCGAAUGUCCA